rnacentral:rRNA from 1 species
GACGAACGCUGGCGGCGUGCCUAACACAUGCAAGUCGAACGGUGAAGCGCCUUCCUUUUUGGUGGGUGUGGAUGAGUGGCGAACGGGUGAGUAACACGUGAGUAACCUGCCCCCUUCUUCUGGAUAACCGCAUGAAAGUGUGGCUAAUACGGGAUAUUCUGGGUCUGUCGCAUGAUGGGUCUGGGAAAGAUAUUGUUUCGGUGGGGGAUGGGCUCGCGGCCUAUCAGCUUGUUGGUGGGGUGAUGGCCUACCAAGGCGGUGACGGGUAGCCGGCCUGAGAGGGUGGACGGUCACACUGGGACUGAGACACGGCCCAGACUCCUACGGGAGGCAGCAGUGGGGAAUAUUGCACAAUGGGCGCAAGCCUGAUGCAGCGACGCCGCGUGAGGGAUGGAGGCCUUCGGGUUGUGAACCUCUUUCGCCAGUGAAGCAGGCCUGCCUCGUUUGUGGGUGGGUUGACGGUAGCUGGAGAAGAAGCGCCGGCUAACUACGUG